AGAUGUUGGGUUAAGUCCCGCAACGAGCGCAACCCUUGUCAUUAGUUGCUACGAAAGGGCACUCUAAUGAGACUGCCGGUGACAAACCGGAGGAAGGUGGGGAUGACGUCAAGUCCUCAUGGCCCUUAUGGGUAGGGCUUCACACGUCAUACAAUGGUCGGGACAGAGGGUCGCCAACCCGCGAGGGGGAGCCAAUCCCAGAAACCCGAUCGUAGUCCGGAUCGCAGUCUGCAACUCGACUGCGUGAAGUCGGAAUCGCUAGUAAUCGCGGAUCAGCAUGUCGCGGUGAAUACGUUCCCGGGUCUUGUACACACCG
rnacentral:rRNA from 2 species